GCGCCUUUCGUCCCAAAUCAUCCGAUGGUGUGAUCAAAGGCCGAUUUACGAACAGCCAAUAAAAACGCUGCUUUCGAUUAUUCUAUUACAUCACGCCACCACGCGAGUCCAGAAAACAGCAUAUGAAAGGAGACCUGGAACAGACUCCAGACAGACGUGUCUACACCUAGAUUUUAGAAAGAACUUUCACGCCGGUCGUAACACU